rnacentral:tRNA from 4 species
GUCCCCAUCGUCUAGCGGCCUAGGACAUCGCCCUUUCACGGCGAGAACAGGGGUUCGAACCCCCUUGGGGACGCCA